AACGAACGUUGGCGGCGUGGAUUAGGCAUGCAAGUCGAGCGAAUCCCCGCAAGGGGGGAAGCGGCGAAAGGGGCAGUAAGGCAUGGGUAACCUACCCUGGGGACUGGGAUAGCCCUUCGAGAGAAGGGGUAAUACCGGGCGAUGUGCCGGGCCGGCAUCGGUCAGUCACCAAAUGAGUUUCGCCCUGGGAGGGGCCCAUGUGAUAUUAGCUAGUUGGUGAGGUAACGGCUCACCAAGGCGAAGAUGUCUAGCGGGUGGGAGAGCACGACCCGCGCCACUGGCACUGAGACACUGGCCAGACACCUACGGGUGGCUGCAGUCGAGGAUCUUCGGCAAUGGGCGCAAGCCUGACCGAGCGACGCCGCGUGUGCGAUGAAGGCCUUCGGGUUGUAAAGCACUGUCGAGAGGGAGAAAAGCGAAAGCUUGAUCUAUCUCUGGAGGAAGCACGGGCUAAGUUCGUGCCAGCCGCCGCCGUAA
rnacentral:rRNA from 1 species